UGCGACACCUUUGUGUUGAGUACGCGUGCGUUGUGUUUGUGGUAGGGUUUGCAUAUGGUUCCAGCAUGGAUAGUUCAGCUAAAAAUAUAUCAAGAUUACAAAUUUUCCAUGAAUUUUUUUUUAUAAACGGAAAAUUUAUAAAAAACCCUGAUGUUCCGGAAACGUUGUGCUCGAGAUUAAAAGUUCCAAGAAGACGACGAUGAUGACGAUACAGACCAAGAAGACGACGACGAUGACGAUAAAGACCAAGAAGAAGACGACGACGACGACGAGGACCAAGAUAAUGACGAUUAGAUUAAGUUGUGAUGUUAUGUGAAUUAAAAAUUUAAGCCGUU